rnacentral:rRNA from 1 species
GAAUCAAUAACUGGGGUGAAGUCGUAACAAGGUAGCCGUAUCGGAAGGUGCGGCUGGAUCACCUCCUUU